rfam:Firmicutes bacterium CAG:884 genomic scaffold, scf7
AUUAGUGGCGAUAGCAGUGAGGGUACACCUGUUCCCAUCCCGAACACAGAAGUUAAGCUCACUUACGGCGAAAAUAGUGAUAAGCUAAGAUAGCAAGUCGCUAAUU